CCUACGGGAGGCAGCAGUGGGGGAUAUUGCACAAUGGGGGAAACCCUGAUGCAGCGACGCCGCGUGAGUGAAGAAGUAUUUCGGUAUGUUAAGCUCUAUCAGCAGGGAAGAAAAUGACAGUACCUGACCAAGAAGCCGCGGCUAACUACGUGCCAGCUGCCGUGGUAAUACGUAGGGGGCAAGCGUUAUCCGGCUUUACUGGGGGUAAAGGGAGCGUAGACGGUUAUGUAAGUCUGGAGUGAAAGCCGGGGGCCCAACCCCGGGACUGCUGUGGAAACUGUGUAACUGGAGUACAGGAGGGGCAGGCGGAAUGCCUGGUGUAGCGGUGAAAUGCGUAGAUAUCAGGAGGAACACCGACGGCGAAGGCGGCCUGCUGGACUGAAACUGACGUUGAGGCUCGAAAGCGUGGGGAGCAAACAGGAUUAGAUACCCCUGUAGUC
rnacentral:rRNA from 1 species